AUGAAUCUGAGAACUUAUUUAUAAGAUUUGGGGGAUUUGUUCAAAAAAAAAAUCUGACGACCUAUUUGUAAACCCUGAGGACCUAAUCGUAAAUAUAAUAAUACAAGGACUAAACUGUAAAAUGCACAAAAUUACAAAUUCCACCGUUUAAGCCUCUCUGCCUUCGUUCAUAAGGAACCAGAGAAGGCAGCUACGUGGAAGAACAGGAGAAAGAAAGAAGGAAGAAGAGAAGAAAAGGGGGAAGAAGAAGAAGAAAAAAAUUUGGGGCUUUGAGGU
rnacentral:lncRNA from 1 species